CCCCGCCCAAAAUCCUAUCCCUAAUCCCUCUCGUUCCAAUCAAUCGAGAGACGCGCUAGCCUCCGCCCUCCACCCACAUCGCCCAGAUCGCUCCCCUCCACCCCACCUCCGCCUCGGACAGCCUCAUACUCUCUUUGUCGCCGAGCAGGAUGGUCACCCCACCGGCCAACCCCGCUCCAUCGGCUGAAUUGGUUGCCGGAGUAGCACCGGCCGGUCGGAGAACCUGAUGUGGAUUGGAAAAUCCCACCCCACCCCAUCUUGAAAUCGAAGCUUUGGGCCCGGUACCUCCAGUCCACCACGCCGGAGGGCCGUCUCGGUUGGGAAACGAAGCCACCACAUGUCGACCACUGUAGAGUCGUCUCCAUCCCCCCUAAGGCACUGUCCUCGUAUGAUCUAGAUGUUUUGUGCCACAUGAUGCCAAUCAUGCAUCAUUCGUUUCUGAAACGCCUUGGAUUGACCUAUCCCCACAAUGUGAGCGGCGCCGAUUUGAAGGCGCAAAGGAGGUGCUGGAGACAUGGGCGGAGAUAGUGAUGAAGGUCCUCCCCGGGGAUGUGCUUUCGGCGUAAUUUGUGUGCUCCAGCUUCCGCACCAUCAAACCGACCAGGAUAUCACGAUAUCGCGGUUACGUGCUGGCAACAUUGUCCUUGCUGUUUUCUGCCAUCGCGAUGGCGUCAAUUUUCAUUUGGCAGUAUUUCGCUGCUGCCCAAAACAAUAACCUUGCUUCCCAGCCAUCUUAGACAUGGACCUUGUAACACUUUUUGUUGUAACUAAAUAAAUUUUUGUUGCUGUAACUGUAUUAGGCUUUUAUUGUAUGGAAGAAUAUCCCUCUAUCUUUGGUAGCAAACUUUCAUUUGUUUGGAAACAAUGUACAAUUUAUGUCUCAGCGAAAAUAAAUUUAAUUGUUAUCGAUAGAAGCAAACUUAAGUUGCAAUGGAAG